GAUGAACGCUGGCGGCGUGCCUAAUACAUGCAAGUCGAGCGAACGGACGAGAAGCUUGCUUCUCUGAUGUUAGCGGCGGACGGGUGAGUAACACGUGGAUAACCUACCUAUAAGACUGGGAUAACUUCGGGAAACCGGAGCUAAUACCGGAUAAUAUUUUGAACCGCAUGGUUCAAAAGUGAAAGACGGUCUUGCUGUCACUUAUAGAUGGAUCCGCGCUGCAUUAGCUAGUUGGUAAGGUAACGGCUUACCAAGGCAACGAUGCAUAGCCGACCUGAGAGGGUGAACGGCCACACUGGAACUUAGACACGGUCCAGACUCCUACGGGAGGCAGCAGUAGGGAAUCUUCCGGAAUGGGCGAAAGCCUGACGGAGCAAAGCCGCGUGAGUGAUGAAGGUCCUCCGAUCGUAAAACUCUGUUAUUAGGGAAGAACAUAUGUGUAAGUAACUGUGCACAUCCUGACGGUACCUAAUCAGAAAGCCACGGCUAACUACGUG
rnacentral:rRNA from 1 species